rnacentral:lncRNA from 1 species
AUAGGACGUUUAAAUAUUUCAAUUUUAAAUCACGAGUGAUCAAGGAAUGCACGACUUACACAAUCAACUAUCGCACACUCCUUCAGUAAACACAAGGUUUCCAAAGUCAUGAAUAUUGCAUCAGGAGACAAUAGACAAUAUAUUUGAACAACCAUGAUAUUUCAAAGCUUAUAUACAAGAUUUUGACAUAUGUACUUUAAUUCCUUUUCAAAUGGUACAACUAUCUAUUGUAGACAGUGUUUUUUUCCCGAGAACUUACCACUUGAAUGCCAACUAUUAGAAAAAGAAGCCUUUCACUGGCUAACACGUCGUCCAGGAAAAUAUGGUGCGAUUUGGAUGUAAUCAAGGACACGCCAAAUCUAAAAGGAAUGUGUGGCCUUAAGAUCAAUUCAAACAAAUUCAGGAAAUGUUUUCAUUCAUCAAAUUCCCCUCUGUAUUGAACAAUUUUAAACAAGUGUAUGUGUAGUCGGCCAUUUACUGUACAACUUUCAGAUAAUUUAGAUCUCAUUAUAUUGUGUAACAAGUUGCAGUUUUGAUAUGUUUUUUGAUGAUUUUUUUCUAUAUAUAUUUAGAUCAAACCUGUUUUAAAAGCUAUAUGAGAAUAUAUGUUAAAUGCCGUAACUUCGAAAAAAAUAAAUUAUCAAAUGUAUUUAGCUUGAUCUGUUUAUUAUGAAAACUGCAUUUUUAAUUAACCAAAAUUAUAAUCUGACUGCUUACGUAUGUUUGACAUAGCUGUUUCGAAGGCGUCAUUCAUGUCAUUUAUAUCUUAA